rnacentral:rRNA from 1 species
CCUACGGGAGGCAGCAGUGAGGAAUAUUGGUCAAUGGACGAGAGUCUGAACCAGCCAAGUAGCGUGAAGGAUGACUGCCCUAUGGGUUGUAAACUUCUUUUAUAAAGGAAUAAAACGAGGCACGUGUGCCUUUUUGUAUGUACUUUAUGAAUAAGGAUCGGCUAACUCCGUGCCAGCAGCCGCGGUAAUACGGAGGAUCCGAGCGUUAUCCGGAUUUAUUGGGUUUAAAGGGAGCGUAGAUGGGUUGUUAAGUCAGUUGUGAAAGUUUGCGGCUCAACCGUAAAAUUGCAGUUGAAACUGGCAGUCUUGAGUACAGUAGAGGUGGGCGGAAUUCGUGGUGUAGCGGUGAAAUGCUUAGAUAUCACGAAGAACUCCGAUUGCGAAGGCAGCUUACUGGACUGCAACUGACACUGAGGCUCGAAAGUGUGGGUAUCAAACAGGAUUAGAUACCCUGGUAGUC